rnacentral:rRNA from 1 species
UCGAGCGCGGGAAGCAAGCGGAUCCCCUUCGGGGGUGAAGCUUGUGGAACGAGCGGCGGACGGGUGAGUAACACGUGGGCAACCUGCCUGUAAGACCGGAAUAACCCCGGGAAACCGGGGCUAAUGCCGGGUAACACCUACCUUCGCAUGAAGGAAGGUUAAAAGAUGGCUUCUUGCUAUCACUUACAGAUGGGCCCGCGGCGCAUUACCUAGUUGGUGAGGUAA